GGGAUGGUGUGAGGGGAGGUGAUUGUAAACUUUAACAAGUCCUGCUUUAUGCUUCUGUCUUCUUAAUUAUCCUUCCAGGCAAGGUCUCACUGUGGAGUUCACGAGUGACGGGGCCCUGCCAUGCGGUGCCCCAGUGCCAGCCGACGCACCUGUCAGCGCUGUCAGAGAGAGGCCAAGUCCACAGCCACUGGGCCCUGCAGCGAGGCCAGGACCCCGCAUCUGAAACAAAGAUAGCAGCUUCUUCCUGCUUCCUGGUGCGUGGCUCUGCCCUGCAGACUGGGCCUGCUGUGGGGUCCGGUUAGGAGGUCGCCAGCAGGAUUACCCAGAAAACCCAGGAACGUCCAAGUGGUUCAGACUUCUUACUGAUGAAGACAGCCCAGCCCUGCUCACCGUCCCAUGGCCAGGACAGCUGUUCUUUGAAGAUGGACACAGAAGUCUCACUAGCAAUGGCAGUGCCAACCGAACUGGGCACCUAAUGGAUUUCUACGAGUCAGACUGGAUUCUCUUAUGGCAGGAGGAUGUCAAAUAAGUGUGUUCAUUUCUCGGCUUCCUUUUGCAAGUGCAGCCCACAAGGGAGCCCACACCUACUCCCAGGAUGCUGCAGA